UGAACGAAGAGUUUGAUCCUGGCUCAGGAUGAACGCUGACAGAAUGCUUAACACAUGCAAGUCUACUUGAUCCUUCGGGUGAUGGUGGCGGACGGGUGAGUAACGCGUAAAGAACUUGCCCUGCAGUCUGGGACAACAUUUGGAAA
rnacentral:ncRNA from 1 species